rnacentral:rRNA from 1 species
UACGUAGGGUGCGAGCGUUAAUCGGAAUUACUGGGCGUAAAGCGGGCGCAGACGGUUACUUAAGCAGGAUGUGAAAUCCCCGGGCUCAACCUGGGAACUGCGUUCUGAACUGGGUGACUAGAGUGUGUCAGAGGGAGGUAGAAUUCCACGUGUAGCAGUGAAAUGCGUAGAGAUGUGGAGGAACACCGAUGGCGGAGGCGGCCCUCCUGGGAUGACACUGACGUUCAUGCCCGAAAGCGUGGGUAGCAAACAGGAUUAGAUACCCUGGUAGUCCACGCCCUAAACGAUGUCGAUUAGCUGUUCGGGCAGCUUGAUUGUUUAGUAGCGAAGCUAACGCGUGAAAUCGUCCGCCUGGGGAGUACGGUCGCAAGAUUAAAACUC